UACGGAGGGUGCAAGCGUUGUUCGGAAUUAUUGGGCGUAAAGGGCAGGUAGGUGGUCUUGAAAGUCUACUGUGAAAUCCCCGGGCUUAACCUGGGAAGUGCGGUGGAUACUCCAAGACUAGAGUGCUGGAGGGGUGCGUGGAAUUCCCGGUGUAGCGGUGGAAUGCGCAGAUAUCAGGAGGAACACCGAUGGGCGAAGGCAGAUCUCUGGGCCGUAACUGACGCUGAGGAGCGAAAGCGUGGGGAGCGAACAGG
rnacentral:rRNA from 1 species